GCGAGAGUGGCGGAAUUGGUAGACGCACUGGAUUUAGGUUCCAGCGCCGUAAGGCGUGCGAGUUCGAGUCUCGCCUUUCGCACCA
rnacentral:tRNA from 1 species